UACGGGGGGGGCAAGCGUUGUUCGGAAUUACUGGGCGUAAAGGGCUCGUAGGCGGCCAACUAAGUCGGAUGUGAAAUCCCCAGGCUUAACCUGGGAACUGCAUCCGAUACUGGAUGGCUUGAAUCCGGGAGAGGGAUGCAGAAUUCCAGGUGUAGCGGUGAAAUGCGUAGAUAUCUGGAGGAAUACCGGUGGCGAAGGCGGCAGUCCUGGACCGGCAUGACGCUGAUGAGCGAAAGCUAGGGGAGCAACGGG
rnacentral:rRNA from 1 species